ensembl:lncRNA
GUCAGGGUAGCCUAGUGGUUAGAGUGUAGAGGCGGCAGGGUAGCCUAGUGGUUAGAGUGUAGAGGCGGCAGGGUAGCCUAGUGGUUAGAGUGUGGAGGCGACAGGGUAGCCUAGUGGUUAGAGUGUAGAGGCGGCAGGGUAGCCUAGUGGUUAGAGUGUAGAGGCGGCAGAGUAGCCUAGUGGUUAGAGUGUAGAGGCGGCAGGGUAGCCUAGUGGUUAGAGUGUGGAGGUGGCAGGGUAGCCUAGUGGUUAGAGUGUAGAGGCGGCAGGGUAGCCUAGUGGUUAGAGUGUGGAGGCGGCAGGGUAGCCUAGUGGUUAGAGUGUGGAGGCGGCAGGGUAGCCUAGUGGUUAGAGUGUAGAGG